AUAGGAGCUGACGCCUGCCCGGUGCUGGAAGGUUAAGGGGAUCUGUUAGAGCAAUCGAAGCAGUGAACUUAAGCCCCAGUAAACGGCGGCCGUAACUAUAACGGUCCUAAGGUAGCGAAAUUCCUUGUCGGGGAAGUUCCGACCCGCACGAAAGGCGUAACGAUUUGGGCACUGUCUCAACAACAGACUCGGUGAAAUUGUA
rnacentral:rRNA from 1 species